GAGGAAGCCAACACUGUUUUUAUAUAUAUAUAUAUAUAUAAAUAUAUAUAUAUAUAUAUAUAUAUAUAUAUAUAUAUUAAUUGGGGUAGCCCCCAAAAUAUUGGGACAUAUAAAAAAGACAACUCUGUUGAACCGCGGGCAAAUCGCACAUCCCCGUGGCUGUGACUUUGCAUGCGGAUGUCAUCCAUAUCAACUUUCGAUGCCAGUUUCUGCACCUACCAUGGUGACCACGGGUAACAGGAAAUCAGGGUUCGAUUCCGGAGAGGGAGCCUGAGAAAUGGCUACCACAUGCAAGGAAGGCAGCAGGCGCGCAAAUGACCCACUCACGACGCGGGAAGGUAG